rnacentral:lncRNA from 1 species
AGAUAGCUGUGUGCGAAGGGAAGAACCAGCAUCUCCGAGUUGGGGUCCCAGCAUCCUUUGGGCUGGUACCAUCCCUUCUAGACACUUUGCACGCACAGGGAAAGGAAGUAGAGUUUCUAGAAAAAUCCAUCACUAAAGACUAUUCCUGAAUGCGAGUCAUUUAAGCAGAGACUGUAAUAUUUCUCAGUUAGUCAUUAGGACCUUAAAAACAGAGGGACUGAAUUACAGCCCAGAAGGCAUGGAGCUCAGAGGAGGGUCAGCAGAACUGGGGAAAGCCGCCCGGUCCAGACUGAGCCAGAAAAGGACCUCCUCUCAAAAUACAGGAGCAGGAGUUCACUGCCUGAGAGGGACGAGACUGGACAGCACAACCUACUACAUCGUGUGAACAUCCGCCCCCUUCUGCUGCCCUCCAGCCGCAGAACCAGACUUGGUAAGCCCCCGCUGCAGCUACGUCCAUCUCCAGUGAAAGGGGGAGAAGAGGAUCAAAGACCCCUGUGCCAGUCCAAACUACUUCACGGGUAGGUCCACACUCCAAGUGAAAAAUUACAAAUGUACAAAUUCCAAGAGUGAUUGUUUUUCUCUCUAUCUCUACAACUGAGUUCUAAUAAUUGCUUUUCUUGCACGUAAUUUUUCCAAGUAAUUAAAAAUGAUAGCACAGUCUGUAAAUGGCCUGAAAUCUCAGUGAUAGAGAGGGUGUUUGUGUCUUUUGUUUAGUAAAUGUUACCAGAGUUUCCUGGCACGGAAGAAACUCAAUUUACUAAAGCCAGCAGAAAGCGCUCACAUGAUAAACCCACUGUCCUGUUUUCCCCUGGAAACAUUUGUAAUCUACCACAUCAGGGAUGGAGAGUUUCUAUUAAAAAUAUAUCAACACCCUCAUAAAGGCCAUUUUCCCCUUGCAAUUUAUUCUGAGUAAUAACAUCCAAGCCACAAAUUUGUUGACAAUCAAUUUUUGCUUCUCCCUGCAAUUCGGUUGAAGAGUUUCUGUUUUGUAAUAACGGCUCAAACACAAAACACCAUUCAAUUACCAGGUGAUGACACUGCGAACCCCGCAAGGCUUCCACUUUUGUGGUGACGUAUUUGCAUAUCAGCCAUGUGCCCUAUGGGCUUGCUCUUGUACUUGCAUUUUUCCCGAAUGGGUUUAAUUGACUCCAAACAUCAUGAGUAACGUAAAUAUUGAACCUCAGCUACAUCAUGAAAAACGUCUCCUGGGUAGAGAUGGGUAAAAGAAUCACUCAGAUGCUGAUGAGGGGCACCCUCUUAAUCACAUUUUUCAUCAGAGAAAUAUUGAAAGGCUUGAAACAAGUAAGGCAUUCGGUUUGAGUAAACACAUUCAAGGAUUUGGUUACCUAAGGCUGUCUCCUGCUUCGUUCUCUAAGGUGGCUGGGGUGGAUUGUUUUAAUUAUGGUUUUCAUCCUCCCACUUUCCCUUCCCCCGAGUUUCUCCCAGUAACAGAACCCCCUGGAGGGAACUCCUUCCAAUAGAUCUACUUGAGGCUGAUGUCUUCCCCUGCCCUGGGGGAGGGAACCUGACUUAGGUUUGGUCCAUCUGAGAACCACAAGCCCCCGGCCACAGUGAUUACUUCCAGGACAGACACCCACUUGAGCUGGGGCAGGCAGUCCCCCAUCCCCCACAGGGACUUCGCCAGAAUCAUCAGAAAGGAGACACUCUCCAUGGAUUGCCAGCUUCAUCACUAGGAAGCCGUAAGCCCAGAUGUACCAGCAGCCAUCUCUGCCAGCCAUGGAGAACCUGCCUGAGAAGGAGGCAACUCAGGCAGAAGCAGAUUCAAAAGGUGCAGAGGCAGCAUUCUGAUGUCACUGCACGUGCCACUCGAACCAAGACCCCCCUGGACUUCCCUGAUAUGUGAAACAUAUAUUCUAUUAAUUUGAGUUUCCAUCACUUGUAGCUAAAAAUCUCCUUGUACGGACACGGAAGGGAGAAAAAAGCAUAAACUGUAACUAGGCUAAAAGAAGACUCUUGUCUUUUCUCCUCACAACACUUCUGACACCAAAUGUGUUGAUUUGCCACUCAAAGCAAUUCUAACACUAACUACCUGGCGUCAGUACAGACCCCACAGGUUAAGGGCUCAGUCCCACAAGACCACCCCCACUUCAGAGGCCAAUCACAAGUCUGGGCCUCUGGUACUUCUGACUGACUGACCAGCUCUAGAUGAAGGGCUCCCAGGACCCCCUUCUGGAGUUCCAUAAUUUGCUAUAACAUCUCACAGAACUCAAGGAAGCACUUUACUUACCAUUACCAGUUUAUUAUACAGGAUGCAACUCAAGAACAGCCAAAUAGAAGAGAUGCAUAGGGCAAGCUAAGGGGAUGCCCUCCCUGGGUACACCACCCUCCUGGCACCUUGAUAUGUUCACCAACCCAGAAGCUCUCUGAACCCUGCUGUUUAGGGUUUUUGUGGAGGUUCCAUUAUGUAGGCAUGAUUGAUUAAGUCAUUACCCAUUGGCAGUUAGCUCAAUCUUCAGCCCCUCUCCACUCCCUGGAAAUUGGAGGGUGGGGCUGAAAUUUACAACCCUCUAAUCACAUGAUUAGUUCCUCCACAAGCAGCUUCUAUCCUCCAAGAAUGCCCUUAUUAGCAUAAAUUCAAGUAUGGUUGAAAGGGCUUUAUUACAAAUAACAGAAGAUGUUCUUGUCACCCCAUAAGGAAAUUCCAGUUUCUUAAUAGCCCUGUGCCAAGAACCAGAGACAAAGAGCAAAUAUAUAUUUCUUAUUAUGUCACUAUUUCCCAUGCAUAAAUCUUGCUUUUAUUUUUAAAGCCCAUGCCCUUUAGAGCUUGGACUGUCAGCAAAACUUUAAUACAUGUAGUACGUAAAAUAAAGAUUUUACUUUUUUCA